AUGUACAUGCCUACAACAUAGUGUUAAUGCAUCAGAUCCCAUUAGAACUCCACAGUUAAGCGUGCUUUGGCUAGAGUAGUACAGAGAUGGGUGACCGCUCGGAAAGUCCUAGUGUUUUACAUG
rfam:Picea glauca, whole genome shotgun sequence.